ACGAACGCUGGCGGCGUGCCUAAUACAUGCAAGUCGAGCGGACUGAAUGGGAGCUUGCUCUUGUUCGGUCAGCGGCGGACGGGUGAGUAACACGUGGGCAACCUGCCCGCAAGAUCGGGAUAACUCCGGGAAACCGGAGCUAAUACCGGAUAACACCGAAGACCGCAUGGUCUUUGGUUGAAAGGCGGCGCAAGCUGCCACUUGCGGAUGGGCCCGCGGCGCAUUAGCUAGUUGGUGAGGUAACGGCUCACCAAGGCGACGAUGCGUAGCCGGCCUGAGAGGGUGACCGGCCACACUGGGACUGAGACACGGCCCAGACUCCUACGGGAGGCAGCAGUAGGGAAUCUUCCGCAAUGGGCGAAAGCCUGACGGAGCGACGCCGCGUGAGCGAAGAAGGCCUUCGGGUCGUAAAGCUCUGUUGUGAGGGACGAAGGAGCGCCGUUUGAAGAAGGCGGCGCGGUGACGGUACCUCACGAGGAAGCCCCGGCUAACUACGUG
rnacentral:rRNA from 1 species